GCCUAGUUAGCUUAGUUGGUAGUGCGUCUGCCUUGUAAGCGCUAGGCCGCGGGUUCGAUUCCCGCCC
rfam:Asian citrus Psyllid, Diaphorina citri - Florida Strain, whole genome shotgun sequence.